rnacentral:sRNA from 1 species
GUUGGGUGUGGUGGCUCACAUCUGUAAUCCCAGCAGCUUAGGAGAUUGAGACAGGAGGAUCAUGAGUUCAAAGUCAGCCUCAGAAAUUUAGUGAUGCCCUAAGCAACUCAGUGAGACUCUGUCUCUA